AAGUAAGUCUCUGUGAGUUGUGUAUGAAUGUGUAUAUAUACAUACACACAUACAUAUACUACAUACACACACAUACAC
rnacentral:miRNA from 14 species